rnacentral:lncRNA from 1 species
AUGGCUUUGAAAAUGGCCUCAGCUCCAGCAGCCACUGCGGUCAGUGCCCUGCACUGGCAAAGCCCGUCACUGCUCUCACCUCCCUGGGUCAGCAGCGAGGAGAAGGGGCGGAGCCGUGGGGGCUGGAGGCGGGAGGGAGGGUCAGGUCGCCCCUGGCUCCUCUCACCUCUCCUCCCUUCUUCCAGCCCCCAGAGCUCGCUCUCCCGUUUGAUCCAGCUUCCCCUCUACAGAAGAAAGAAGCUUGGUCGGACCAGCUUGCUGGAGCCAAGUAAAGCAGUAUAAUCUCAAACCUAUCUACAACGUUUUUAGAGGUCUGAAGCAGGCUGUAAACACACUUCCAGAGUAAAACAGUACCAUGAUGGUGCACCACCAUUUUUCUGCAGGAGCGCCUGUUAGAAGCUCUUUAUUUAGAAAUGACCCACCUUUGCAAAGUCUCUACCACUGAAAAGGAAUUCCCGGUAGAGAGGCAUUUGUGUGGCCCUGAACGCUCGUCUGUGAACACUACGGCUAACUGCUGCUUUCGAAAAGGCUGGCACCACCAUAACCUGUUGGUUUGCCUCCCAUCCCUGGCUCAAAAAAUACGUAUGUAAAGUCUGCUGGCCUAGGGCUGGGGCUCCUCACUCACCAGCUGGGACCGUCCGAGGCUGUUUCCUCCCCAGUCCCAGGGCGAACAGAGGCUCCUUGUCUGGAAGGAGGCCGGCCAGGAAGUGCCUGCUGUUCCAGUGUAAACGUGGACGUUCACUCAAGAAGUCAGCCUGUCUCGAGAAGGAGCUCUGAUCACACAGGUUGGAGCAAUUAGGGCCGGGAGCUGCGACAGUGACAAAUAGGAAACUGCAGCUCAUCUCUGAGCGGCAGGCUGCUUCUGGGGUGAUUCUUUGCUAGAGCUUCAGCAAGAUUGUCUUGGGGGACUGCAAGAUGUGAUGGAUUUAUAUGACAGAAGGGUUGAUCUUCAGGAAAAAUUCUCUUAAACUUUCUGAGUCACACUUUGCUAAUAGGAACCGCUGGAAGACUCCUCUUCAUAGGCUACGUGUUCUUCGAUCCCUCUGGUAAAUACAUUUUCCAAUAGUCUCACUUCUAUAUUUACAUACUUGCUUGUUCUAUUUUUAAAUUACACUAUAUUUUAGGGCAGUUUAAGGUUGACAGCAAAAUUGAGGGGAAGAUAUUUCCCAUACACCCCCGCCCAAUGCAUAGCCUCCCCCAUUAUCAACAUCCCCCACCAGAGUGGCGGGUUU